GACGAACGCUGGCGGCGUGCUUAACACAUGCAAGUCGAACGAUGAAGAAGAGAAACGCGAACUUCGGUUCAAAUUUCACUUCGGAUUAGUGGCAGACGGGUGAGUAACGCGUGAGCAACCUACCUCUUACAAAGGGAUAGCCUCGGGAAACCGUGAUUAAUACCAUAUGACACAUUCAUAAGGCAUCUUAAGAAUGUUAAAGCUACGGCGGUAAGAGAUGGGCUCGCGUCCCAUUAGCUAGUUGGUGAGGUAACGGCCCACCAAGGCGACGAUGGGUAACCGGCCUGAGAGGGUGAACGGUCACAUUGCAACUGAGACACGGUCCAAACUCCUACGGGAGGCAGCAGUGGGGAAUAUUGCACAAUGGAGGGAACUCUGAUGCAGCGACGCCGCGUGAGCGAUGAAGGAAUUCGUUUCGUAAAGCUCUGUUCUAUGGGAAGAAAAGGACUGUACCAUAGGAGAAAGCCCCGGCUAAAUACGUG
rnacentral:rRNA from 1 species